CGGGAUAUAGUUCAAUGGUAGAACGCAGACACUUUUAAUGUCUGAGAAUGGUGGUUCAAAUCCACUGACCCCGA
rnacentral:tRNA from 1 species